rnacentral:lncRNA from 1 species
CGGGGGGUCGCUUAAUGCUGGGGCCCUAGGACGGGGUGUCGCUGGUCCCGUCCACACAGGGGGACACCGGGACUCGGGGUGCCCCGGGCUCGUUUCUUUGUUCAGUCCAGGGGGGCUGGUGUCACCGUUACCCCCGACGCACCAGCCCGCGUGGCUGCCCUGCUCUCCUGACACCGGGCACCAGCCGCGCGGCCAGGCCUCCAGCGCCCAACACGGAACUCCUCCUCCUCCUCCUCCUCCUUCUCCUCCUUCUCCUUUCUUUGUCCUUUUCUUCUUUCUUCUUCUUUCUCCUUCUCCUUCCUUCUCCCUUCUUCUUCCUUCUCCUCCUCCUUCUUCUUAUUCUCUUCUUCUUCUUCUUCUUCUUCUUCUUCUUCUUCUUCUUCUUCCUCUUCUUCCUUCAUCCUCUUCUUCUUUCUUCUUCUCCUUCCCUUUCCUUCUCCUUCUUCUUCCUUCCUCCUCCUUCCUCCUCCUUCCUUCUCCUUCCUUCUCCCUUCUUCUUCCUUCUUCUUCUUCUUCUUCUUCUUCUUCUUCUUCUUCUUCUUCUUCUUCUUCUUCUUCUUCCUCUUCUUCCUUCAUCUUCUUCUUCUUUCUUCUUCUCCUCUUUCCUUCUCCUUCUUCUUCCUUUCUUCCUCCUCCUUCCUUCUCCUUCCUUCUCCCUUCUUCUUCCUCCUCCUCCUCCUCCUUCUUCUUCUUCCUUUAUCCUCUUCUUCUUUCUUCUCCUCCUUUCUUCUUCUCCUUCUUCUUCUUCUCCUCCCUUCUUCUUCCUUCCUUCCUCCUCCUCCUCCUUUCUUUGUCCUCUUCUUCUUUCUUCUUCUUUCUCCUUCUCCUUCCUUCUCCUUUCUUCUUCCUUCUCCUCCUCCUCCUUCUUCUUCCUUCAUCCUCUUCUUUCUUCUCCUCAUUUCUUCUUCUUCUUCUUCUUCUUCUUCUUCUUCUUCUUCUUCUUCUUCUUCUCCUUCUUCUUUUCCCUUCUUCCUUCCUUCUCUCCUCCUCCUUCUUCUUCUUCUUCUUCUUCUUCUUCUUCUUCUUCUUCUUCUUCUUCAUAUGUAUUUAUUCAUUUUGGAGUGAGAGAGAGAGAGAGCUGGAGCAUGCUAGCAUGGGGAGGAGCAGAGGGAAAGGGGCGAGCAGACCCGUACUGGGAGGCCCACCUCCCCACCCUGACCCCAGCACCUGCGCCCAGCCGCCCGGAUGCCCCCCGCCAUCCCACCCUAACCCCCAACUUCUCCUGCAAGUGCCACAGGUGUAAACGGAAGGUUUUAGACAGUUUCCUUAGAGAGUGCACAGAAAACUAACGAUAUUCCUUUCUUGGCUCCUUGUUCUCUUACCAAUUUCUCAAAUUUUAGAACAACAGCAUACUUUGCUAAAAAUCACCUUUUUUCUUUUUUGCUCCAACUUUGAAUGAUCAAAUGAGUGCCUCUUAUUUCAGCCUUUGAUACGGUUUUGAUGUGUAAUUUGGGCUUCUUUACCCCUCUCAUUAACCAGAACCUUUCCAAACAAUUUUAUGGCAAG